AUUGAACGCUGGCGGCAUGCCUUACACAUGCAAGUCGAACGGCAGCACGGGAGCAAUCCUGGUGGCGAGUGGCGAACGGGUGAGUAAAGUAUCGGAACGUGCCCAGUCGUGGGGGAUAACGUAGCGAAAGUUACGCUAAUACCGCAUACGAUCUAUGGAUGAAAGCGGGGGACCGCAAGACCUCGCGCGAUUGGAGCGGCCGAUAUUAGAUUAGGUAGUUGGUGGGGUAAAGGCUCACCAAGCCGACGAUCUGUAGCUGGUCUGAGAGGACGACCAGCCACACUGGGACUGAGACACGGCCCAGACUCCUACGGGAGGCAGCAGUGGGGAAUUUUGGACAAUGGGCGAAAGCCUGAUCCAGCCAUGCCGCGUGCAGGAUGAAGGCCUUCGGGUUGUAAACUGCUUUCGUACGGAACGAAAAGGUUUGGCCUAAUAAGCUGAGCUCAUGACGGUACUGUAAGAAUAAGCACCGGCUAACUACGUGCCAGCCGCCGCCGUAA
rnacentral:rRNA from 1 species